GUUGCAUGUGCUGUACUACUGAGCUGCAAUUACGUGCAGUUCAAUAUUGCAGAAGCAACCAAGGCUGCUUUGAGUUUUAAAUUGUUACUUCUAAGGCAAAUGUUUGCCAGUGAGUUUCUCAAGGACUUGGGCACAAUCUGGAGGCAGAGUGCUCCUAACCAUUCUUUAUUUCAAAUAGAACAGCCCUACAACAAAGAGCAUCACUGUUCUCUGCUCUGGUAUAGUGUGUAUGGUCUUAAUUGCUGUGGAAUACCAAUUCUUUUUUACAAGCUUGUAAAAUGUAGGGUAGCACAGUAAGCAAAUCCUUUUCGGGAUGAGGAUAGUCCCUGCAGAUAUAAAACUGUUAAGUGAACGUUACAGAUGAGUAAACCUUGUUAACUUCAUAUGCAGAAGAAGCACUCUGGAGCUGUUGAAGAUUUAAUUUGGAGCACAUAUGCCCAACAUAUGUAACAUCAUCAAACAGUUACCUGAUGCUCUUCAAAACAGUGUGAACAAAGCAAUAACUUCAAGGAUUCUGGGGAUUAUAACUGGAAUGCAGACAAGGCUGACAUGUCCUUCAGCAUUUUUAGCAUGAUCUAAGUAUGAACACAGCUGCUUUUCCAUGGGAGCCUGAGGAGAACUCAUUCAAGAUGAAAGGAAGUGGAAUGCAUCUGAAAGAACAGCCAAAUUUUGAUGGCUUUUUCUUGCUGAUGAUAUGAGCAGUUAAAUCUUUUAAAGGGCAGUGUUGCUUUCCUUUUAGUCCUAUUGGUUGUACAACUCUUACCCAUCUUUUGUGAAUGUAUCAUAUUUAAUCGUUUGCCAAAACCCGUUUGUUUAAUUAAAUUCUUUUAAGAGCAUACCACUCUUAUAUGAAGUUUGAAGGAUUAUAUGCAGCUUGUUUUUCCCCUGGUACUUUCAGGUUGAUUUUGAUCAUUGCCUUCAUAUACUGGCUUACAUUUCUUUUAUGUGCUGCUUAGUGACACAAAGAGGGUAUGGCGGUCUUGUGUGACUAGUAUAAUAUUCAUGCUUCAUUAUGUAGAGAAACAUUUAUUGCUGUUGAAUAACCUGAUGGACCUAUGGUGUUGUUUUUCCCCUUAAAAUAGUCACUUGGUUCCAUGUGCUUGAGGUGCAUAGUGUCUCAUGUUUGUUUGAGCAAUUUAAAAUAGGAAACAUGGAUAGGACCAUCUACAACGCGGUUUGUGAGGCAUUACUGAAAUCCAGCUCAUGCUGAUGGGAAUUACAAAACUGAAAGUGUUGCACUUCCUAAGUACAUUUCUAAUAAAC